CGAGUCGAACGAACUUCCGUUAAUUGAUUAUGACGUACUUGUACUGAUUGAGAUUUUAACACGAAGUGAGUGGCGAACGGGUGAGUAACACGUGGGUAACCUGCCCAGAAGUAGGGGAUAACACCUGGAAACAGAUGCUAAUACCGUAUAACAGAGAAAACCGCAUGGUUUUCUUUUAAAAGAUGGCUCUGCUAUCACUUCUGGAUGGACCCGCGGCGUAUUAGCUAGUUGGUGAGGUAAAGGCUCACCAAGGCAGUGAUACGUAGCCGACCUGAGAGGGUAAUCGGCCACAUUGGGACUGAGACACGGCCCAGACUCCUACGGGAGGCAGCAGUAGGGAAUCUUCCACAAUGGACGCAAGUCUGAUGGAGCAACGCCGCGUGAGUGAAGAAGGGUUUCGGCUCGUAAAGCUCUGUUGUUAAAGAAGAACGUGGGUAAGAGUAACUGUUUACCCAGUGACGGUAUUUAACCAGAAAGCCACGGCUAACUACGUGCCAGCAGCCGCGGUAAUACGUAGGUGGCAAGCGUUAUCCGGAUUUAUUGGGCGUAAAGCGAGCGCAGGCGGUCUUUUAAGUCUAAUGUGAAAGCCUUCGGCUCAACCGAAGAAGUGCAUUGGAAACUGGGAGACUUGAGUGCAGAAGAGGACAGUGGAACUCCAUGUGUAGCGGUGAAAUGCGUAGAUAUAUGGAAGAACACCAGUGGCGAAGGCGGCUGUCUGGUCUGCAACUGACGCUGAGGCUCGAAAGCAUGGGUAGCGAACAGGAUUAGAUACCCUGGUAGUCCAUGCCGUAAACGAUGAUUACUAAGUGUUGGAGGGUUUCCGCCCCUUCAGUGCUGCAGCCUAACGCAUUAAGUAAUCCGCCUUGGGGAGUACGACCGCAAGGUUGAAACUCAAAAGAAUUGACGGGGGCCCGCACAAG
rnacentral:rRNA from 1 species